GCAGGUUGAUUCUUAAACCCAUUGAACAUAAUGAUCAAACGCCAUCUCCCAAUUUUGAAUUCCUUGUAUUCGAAGCAGAGGAAGAUGAUGUUGAAGGGGAUUCCUGACGAGAUUACCCGACUUCUUGAGCAUGAAAAGAAGAUCAUUCAGCUGUAUCUUGAGAAUCAGCAAAACAGUCAAACUGGGGCAUUACAAAUGUAAAAAAAAAAAGGGGUGAAAAAUAAAAGAAUCAAAAUCAAAAUU
rnacentral:lncRNA from 1 species